UGGGCUUGACAUGCAGGGGACAGAUGUAGAAAUACAUCCUUCUUCGGACUCCUGUACAGGUGCUGCAUGGCUGUCGUCAGCUCGUGUCGUGAAAUGUUAGGUUAAGUCCUGCAACGAGCGCAACCCCUGUCUUUAGUUGCCAUCAGGUUAUGCUGGGGACUCUAGAGAGACUGCCGGUGAUAAACCGGAGGAAGGUGGGGACGACGUCAAGUCAUCAUGGCCCUUACGCCCAGGGCUACACACGUGCUACAAUGGUCGGUACAAUGGGCUGCGAAACAGUGAUGUGGAGCGAAUCCCAAAAAGCCGGCCUCAGUUCGGAUCGUAGUCUGCAACUCGACUACGUGAAGU
rnacentral:rRNA from 1 species